rnacentral:tRNA from 1 species
GCCUGGCUGGCUCAAUUGGUAGAGCAUGAAACUCUUGAUCUCAGGGUCUUGAGUUUGAGCCCCACACUGGGCA